rnacentral:rRNA from 1 species
ACGCCCAUCUUCGGGUGGGAGUGGCAGACGGGUGAGUAACACGUGGGAACAUACCCUUCGGUUCGGAACAACGUCUGGAAACGGACGCUAAUACCGGAUACGGCCUGUGGGCGAAAGAUUGAUCGCCGAAGGAUUGGCCCGCGUUCGAUUAGCUUGAUGGCGGGGUAACGGCCCACCAUGGCGACGAUCGAUAGCUGGUCUGAGAGGAUGGCCAGCCACAUUGGGACUGAGACACGGCCCAA